GAUCGAACAACUGUGUUUGCCACAUUGACACAGACUAACAAGUGAAAAUACGCAAUGGAUAUUCGGAUGAAGAACGAAAAGGAGAAAAUGGAAAUGACAGAAAAAGACAAGUGGAUGAUUGCUGGCAGAUGACGCAGCUCAGUUAGAACCAGUGGCACUUCAGUGGGCUGGUAAAUAUGGUUGGAAAGAUGAGGAGUCUGGCUGGAUAUUCGUUGCCAAUCAAGAUUCUUACAUCAAAACAAAGAACAUCACUGAGCAGAUUACAUUUAAAAAUGCCCCAAGCCAAGUUCUCCAAUGCAACCGACUAUGAAUGAUGUCUAUCGCGAGGUGAAGGAAGGUCCAUUCCGCGGACUCCGUAUGGAAGGCGUGUGCCAAGCAGCCGGCCGACGACGUGGCGGAGUCCAAAGCACGGUACGCUUUGUGUCUCUUGUCGGGCGCCCCUAGGGGACCCUGUCGUUCGGUUCUACGACUGAGGGGGGUUCAGCAUGAGGGCGUGUCGUCUUCGUUCAUUUUGCCAUUUCAACGCGAAAAAGAGAGGUUUUUAAAUUAAAUAGGCCUUCCCUCUCUUACGCUGUUGAAGGGCUUAAGAAAGUUGACGACAUGGUGCGGGAUGGAGUCCGGGACGGGCUCCGGACUCGCCUUUGCCGUUAAUCAGACGGCUCGCACUUAACUUGAUGGGUUAACCUUCUAUGCUCUCCGGCGGCAGUCGUAGAAGAUCAGGCACUGAAGUAGAUGAUAUUACAACCCUCUAUGCUCUCCGGCGGCAGUCGUAGAAGAUCAGGCACUGAAGUAGAUGAUAUUACAACAAACAGCAUAGACGGAAAGACCACCUCCCAAUGGAAGGAAGAGGGUCGGUGCGAUGGGGCAUGCUUGUUGAAGAGGGCUGAAGAUGCACGAUCGUGGCGUGACAGACGUCUGGGGAUGGAUUCGGACGCGAGCAAGAUGUGUGCCGCAUUUAGGGUAACUUCAUUUCAUUAUUUUUGAACCCAAUUUUAAAAAUUAUGAGCGAUUUAAAUCGUUAAGAUUCUUUUCAGGAAGAGCAUCCGGGAGACCCGUGCGAAGCAAGAUCCAUCUUGCAGAGCCAAGAACACCGCAGAGAGCCCAGCGUGACGAGAGUCCAGCGUGUGACGAGAGUCCAGCGUGUGACGAGAGUCCAGCGUGUGACGAGA